AAUCCUAAUAAAAUGUAAAUGGAUCACCUUUCCGAUUGAGAAUGAGAUCAGUUUUCAAUCGUUUCAAAUUUGGAAAUAAAACUGUAUUAUUUGUGAUCCCCAAAGAAGACGGUUUUUUGAAAUGGCAUCAGAAGAUAUGGCCAACUUGAAAAUUGAAGAUAGCAAAGACCAAAGAGAUGGUGGAUUUGUGUUCACAUCCAAACAAGACAAUAAUAAUUCUUCAGGCUCAUCAUUCCUUCAGCUUGGUGAUGCUCAUGCUCAUGCCAUUGAUAAAUUCAAAUUCGGUGCAAGGAAGGAACAAAGUGGCAACAAUAAAAGUAGACCAAAACUCAAGUUAUCUACCCCUCCCCAGGGAUAUCAUGAUUUUAUUUGGAAGCCAAAGAAUGAGUCAUUUGGUUUUUUUAGUGUGGAUGCCACAUCAAUUGAUCAGUGUUCGAAUAAGAAUGAAUGUGAAGUUGUAGGCAUAGAGAAUAAGGAGGAAGCUUCAGAUUGUGGUGGAAGCUUCAAGUCUGCCAAUGAUGAAGUGGACAUAACAAAUGAUGGUUCAAGACAUAUGAGUGGCUUUACAUUUUCUGCUUCUCAAGUGCAAUCAUCUAGCUCUAGCCUCAAACGCCACCCCAAUAAGAUAAAUUGGGUAAAAGUUGGUCAUGCUCAUCAAAAUGAUACUUACAACUCCACUCCUAAUCCAUUAUCAUUUUCUGGAACUUCCUCUCUUUUCACUUCAGGGCAAGCCAAUACAAGGGGAUCUGAGGUGCAAGGGAUAAAGGAUGAAUUUGCUUCCAUUUCUGCUACAACCCUUGCGGCUGAGGAAGCCUGUGAAAAGUGGAGACUCAAAGGAAACCAAGCCUACAAAAAUGGAAAUUUAUCUGUGGCUGAGGAUUGCUACACACAAGGAGUUAGUUGUGCUUCUAAAGUUGAAGCGUCUCAGAGAUGCCGAAGGGCCUUGAUGCUGUGUUAUAGCAACCGUGCUGCCACACGCAUGUCUCUUGGUAGGAUGAGAGAAGCAGUAGAAGAUUGUAGGCUGGCUGCUGAAAUUGAUCCAAAUUUCCUCAGGGUGCGACUUAGAGCUGCAAAUUGUUUCCUUGCUAUGGGGGAAGCUGAGGAUGCGUCAAAGUAUUCCAAGAGGUGCUUGCAAUCAGGAACCGAUUUUUGUGUAGAUAAAAAAAUUGUUGUGGAAGCCUCCGAUCUCUUGCAAAAGACACAGAAAGUAUCAGAAUUAAUCAAUCAUUCUGAUGAACUUUUGCAAAGAAGAACGGCUGCUGAUGCAGAGAGAGCAUUGGAACUUAUAAAUGAGGCAUUGGUGAUAAGUUCAUACUCUGAAAAAUUGCUUGAAAUGAAAGCGGAGGCUCUUUUUAUGCUAUGUAGAUAUGAGGAAGUGAUCCAGCUGUGUGAUCAAACCGUUGGCUCUGCCGAGAAGAAUUCCUAUCCAUUGGAUGCUGAUUGCGAAGUGAGAGAUCUGGAUAGUUCACAGCUUUCAAAAGGCUUAUAUUUCAGGCUUUGGCGGUGCUCAAUGAUGCUUAAAUCCUACUUUCACCUAGGAAAGCUUGAAGAGGGUCUUUCUUUACUGGAGGAACAAGAGGAAAAGGUAUCAGCCAUAAACAUGAGUGGAAGCAAGGUUUUGGAAUCACUAAUGCCACUAGCUGUCACUGUACGUGAGCUCUUGCAUCAUAAGACAGCAGGGAAUGAAGCGUUUCAGGCAGGAAAACAUGAGGAAGCUGUUGAACAUUAUACAGCUGCUUUAUCAUGUAAUGUGGAAUCUCUCUUAUUUGCAUCUGUCUGUUUUGGUAAUCGGGCAGCUGCAUAUAAAGCAUUAGGUCAAAUUACUGAUGCCAUAGCAGAUUGCAAUCUGGCUAUAGCUCUUGAUGGAAGAUACUUAAAGGCACUUUCUAGGCGUGCAACUUCAUAUGAGAUGAUCAGAGAUUAUGACCAUGCAGCAAGCGAUAUAAGGAGAGUUGUCUCUCUUCUCAUUAAUAGAAAUCAGCAUGGCAUAUCUGAUAGAUCAAUCAACUAUGCCAAUGAUUUGAAACAUAACCAAAUUUGGCUUUCCGAAAUAGAAGAGGAAGCCAAAAAGGGGAUACCUCUUGAUAUGUACCUCAUUUUGCAUCAGCUGAUUCAGAUUAUGAUGGCAGAGGAGUUGAACAUUCUGUUUCGUCAUCUGAAAUCAAGAAGGCCUAUCACAAAGCUGCACUUAGACAUCAUCCAGACAAGGCUGGCCAAUCUUUGGCAAGAAGUGACAAUGGAGAUGAUCAGAUAUGGAAGGAUAUUGUUGAAGAAAUAAGCAAAGAUGCCGAUAGGCUUUUCAAAAUAAUUGGAGAGGCAUAUGCAGUCCUGUCGGACACUGCCAAGCGUUCACAGUAUGAUUCUGAAGAAGAAAUGAGAAAUUCCCAAAAGAAACGCCAUGGAAACAGCAUCAAUAGAAAUAAUGUCAUUGAUCAAACUGACAAUAGGAGACACUGGAAAGAGGUUUGAAGAUCAAGUGGUAACUCAUCUUUUAAAGAUUCUGAAGCUGGCAGGUCAAGUAGGCAAUAAGAAAAUCUGUGUUGAAUUUUAGUUAGUGAUGUGUUUUAUCUUAUGCAUUUGAGACCAAUGGCAAUGCAGUUGAACAAGCUCGGUUGGGAUAUUGGAAGAAUUUUUCUUUUGACAUGCGAAAGAGAUCAUUGGUUGCAUUCGAUUGUUGUUUUGUUUUUUGUUUUUUUUUCUACUGACCAUUAAUCAGCUUGGAUGACAGCAAGCAAGUGAAAAGGAAGUUUGAAAUUUUGCAUUCUGUCUGGUUUGUCAGGUGUGUAAAGAUUUUUUUUUUCUUUCUUGAAUGUGUGUAUAGAUCUAUACUAUCAGAAAGUUGAUACCGCAUUUGCAUUUGUGUAAUACCACAUGAAAAAUUUUGAUGA